rnacentral:tRNA from 1 species
GUGAGCGUAGCUCAAUGGUCAGAGCAUUGGACUGUGGCUCCAAGGGUUGGGGGUUCAAGUCCCCUCGCUCACCCCA